GGUGAACGCUGGCGGCUUGCUUAAUACAUGCAAGUCGAGCUAACAGACGAGGAGCUUGCUCCUCUGACGUUAGCCGCGUAAAGGACUGUCACCCCUGCUAAACCCACCUUUUAGACUUGGAUAAUUUUGGCAAACCGGAUCUAAUUCUGGAUACUAUUUUGAAUCACAUUGUUCUAUAGUGUAAGACAGUUUUGCUUUCCCUUAUUUAUGGAUCCGGGCCGCAUUACCUAGUUGGUAAGAUAACGACUUACCAAGGGAACGAUGCGUAGCCGACCUGAGAGGGUGGUCGGCCACACUGGAACUGAGACACGGUCCAGACUCCUACGGGAGGCAGCAGUAGGGAAUCGUCAGCAAUGGGCGAAAGCUAGACGGAGCAACGCCGCGUGAGUGAUGAAGGUCUUCGGAUCGUAAGACUCUGUUAUUAGGGAAGAACAAAUGUGUAAGUAACGAUGCACGUCUUGACGGUACCUAAUCAGAAAGCCACGGCUAACUACGUG
rnacentral:rRNA from 1 species